GGAGGGAUGGCCGAGUGGUUUAAGGCGGCGGUCUUGAAAAUCGCUUCCCGUUUUAAACGGGACGGGGGUUCGAAUCCCUCUCCCUCCGCCA
rnacentral:tRNA from 1 species